UCGGACCCUUGGUAUAUAUCAUGGAGAGUUUGAUCCUGGCUCAGAACGAACGCUGGCGGCGUGUCUUAAGCAUGCAAGUCGUGCGGCAAGGGGUAGCAAUACCCCCUAGAGCGGCGGACUGGUGAGUAACGCGUGGGUGAUCUGCCCUUGGGAUGGGGAUAGCCACUAGAAAAUAGUGGGUAAUACCGAAUACGUUCGCUCCUUCGGUGGAGCGAGGAAAAGCGCUUCGGCGCUGCCCGAGGAUGAGCCCGCGUCCCAUUAGCUAGUUGGUGAGGUAACGGCCCACCAAGGCGAUGAUGGGUAGGCGGCCUGAGAGGGUGUACGCCCACACUGGGACUGAGAUACGGCCCAGACUCCUACGGGAGGCAGCAGCUAAGAAUAAUUCGCAAUGGACGAAAAGUACUGACGGAGCGACGCCG
rnacentral:rRNA from 1 species